ensembl:lncRNA
AGGGCUCUGCCCCAAAUCACGCCCCUGCGAGCAGCUCAGCGUCCCCUCCGCUCCCAUCCUGCCAGGCCAGCACCACCGUCCCGCUAUGGACACCACGUCCAGGUCCUUCAGCACCGCUGGGUGCCCACGUCCCCGGGCCCCCCGCGCGGCUCAGGGCUGCAGCAGGUACUUCUCCUCGUUCCUCGCCUCAUCCGCGUCGGAGGGGGGGCCCUUCUUGGGGCACGACGGGGUCCUGCAGGCCUUGCAGAGGAUGAGGAAGAGGAUGAGGAUGAGCAAGGCGAUGAUGCAGUUGAAAGAAAUCGCAACGACUGCUCCGGUGGAGAGAGCCGCCCCCAUCGCCGCUGCCCCGUGGGGAGGAGCGGGACCCCCGGCUCGGCCCCGCGCUUGGGACGCCGGCACAGCCUGCGCCCGGGGGCAUUGGCGGGGGACAGCGGGGACGGGACGGCUGCGGUGCGGGCAGCGGGACGGCCCGGGGGGGCAGGCGGGUGGGUGGGUGGCAGGACCCCCGGUACAGCCGGGCCUCUGGGAGCUGUGACCUCGGCUUGGAGCUUUCCCAAAGCUUCCUCUCCUCCGGCAGCGCGGCGGGGAUGCGCCUGCUCCCUCCGGGACCUGGAAGGGAGAAAGUCACCGUCACCGCCGGCACCGGGUGCCCGAGCCCCCCGGGGGAGGUGGGAGCCUCGGGGGGACGGCGGCUGCUGUUUGGGGGGCUCCGUGCAGCCUCCGCGGGCGCUCCCCGGCUGCCUCCCUCCGUCCCGGGCCGGGGCCGGGGGCACGGAGCCGGAGGUGUCCGGGGGGCCCCAAAUCCCGUCCCCAGCCUCCCUCCCGGGGCAGCCCCGGCCCCGCCGCCGGCCCCCGGCCGCUCUCCGUGCGCUGCUCCCCCCCAAAAACGUGGCGAGGCCCCCCCAUGCCCGAACCCCGCGGAACAGGGAUGAGGGGGGGGGGGAGGGGGGAUUCCCGCAGCCCCCAGCGCAGAUCCCGGAGCCGCGGAUCCCCGGGGGCACCGUGCGGCAGCAACAGGUCCCUGCGGAGCCUCCCUCCCGUCCCGGGGCCGCGCCGUUACCUGCCUGCGAGAACCGCCGGGACCCCGCGGGCGCCGCUGCCGGGUCCGGAGCCCGGGGGUCCCGGGGGUGUCCGGGCGCGGGGGUCCCGGGGGUGCCGGGUGCGGGGGGCGGGCGCCGCUGCCGGGUCCGGAGCCCGGGGGUCCCGGGGGUGUCCGGGCGCGGGGGUCCCGGGGGUGCCGGGUGCGGGGGGUGGCGGUGUCGGCGCGGGGCCGCCCGGAGCUGCCGCAGCCCCGCGCGCUGCCGCUGCCUCCCGCCGCCACCGGGGGCGGCUCCCGCCGGCGCCCUGCCCUCGGCCACGCCCACCCGGAGGGGUGGCCACGCCCACCCCGCCCUCAGGCCACGCCCCCCGCCCCGCUGCUGCCGCGUGCAGGGCGCGCGCGGUCACAGCACCGAAAGCCCCGGCGCGGAGAGCGGCCCCCCGGGGGGGAAGGAAGAGAGGGGAAACAGCUCCGUGCCCAAAGGAAACUUUAUUGAAACCCGGCACAACGCAGCGGGAAGGAGCGGAGAGGGGAAAUGA